CCCUCCAACAGUUGAGGUUGUUCACUCUUCUUCAACAAGCAUAUCAACACCGCAAUCUUACAAGCCAGUAGUGAAUGACUAUGGACCAUCUUUGGGAUUUUCACAGAGUUCAAGUGGAAGUCAAGUGCCUCAGAGUAAAUAUGCAGAAUUGCUAGCCAUUAUUGGAGAGGCAAGGGGAUAAGACCAAUUUAUUAAUGGAGAGACUAAAGCAAGGUAUCAUUCACGCCAGGGGGCUUAUACGUGAAUUCUUGGCAGAAACCGAGAGAAAUGCAAGGCUCUAACAAGCAAGGUGCAA